rnacentral:lncRNA from 1 species
AUUGGUAUUAGUUGCAAAUUGAAAAUUCCUUAAUUCGUAUUUGUUUAUGAAAUCCAUGACGUCUAGUGUCAUGUAAAUGUGCUGUUUAAUUGGUCUUGGAUUAGUUAUCUAUUACAAAAGAUAGUGGGGGCUUAUAUGGUGGAUCUGUUUGGCAGAGCUUCUACCUCUUGUCGAAGAGAUUCAUGGGGAAAAUUAUCUUGCCAGAUUCCUUUUAAAAGCAUUUUUUCGUUAGACGGAGCACUUCGAGAAAAUUAUUCAAACAUGAUCAUAAAUCAACUUUUUAAUUUUAGAA